ACACGCUUCGGCGAUGCAAAUACUAAAAUUGGAACGAUACAGAGAAGAUUAACAUGGUCCCUGGGCAAGGAUGACACGCUAAAUCAUGAAGCGUUCCAGAUGGCA